ACGAACGCUGGCGGCACGCUUAACACAUGCAAGUCGAACGAGAGAAGAGAAGCUUGCUUUUCUGAUCUAGUGGCGGACGGGUGAGUAACACGUGAGCAAUCUGCCUUUCAGAGGGGGAUACCGAUUGGAAACGAUCGUUAAUACCGCAUAAUAUAAUUGAACCGCAUGAUUUGAUUAUCAAAGAUUUAUCGCUGAAAGAUGAGCUCGCGUCUGAUUAGCUAGUUGGUAAGGUAACGGCUUACCAAGGCGACGAUCAGUAGCCGGACUGAGAGGUUGAUCGGCCACAUUGGGACUGAGACACGGCCCAGACUCCUACGGGAGGCAGCAGUGGGGAAUAUUGCACAAUGGAGGAAACUCUGAUGCAGCGAUGCCGCGUGAGGGAAGAAGGUUUUAGGAUUGUAAACCUCUGUCUUCAGGGACGAAAAAAGACGGUACCUGAGGAGGAAGCUCCGGCUAACUACGUGCCAGCAGCCGCGGUAAUACGUAGGGAGCGAGCGUUGUCCGGAAUUACUGGGUGUAAAGGGAGCGUAGGCGGGAUCGCAAGUCAGAUGUGAAAACUAUGGGCUUAACCCAUAAACUGCAUUUGAAACUGUGGUUCUUGAGUGAAGUAGAGGUAAGCGGAAUUCCUAGUGUAGCGGUGAAAUGCGUAGAUAUUAGGAGGAACAUCAGUGGCGAAGGCGGCUUACUGGGCUUUAACUGACGCUGAGGCUCGAAAGCGUGGGGAGCAAACAGGAUUAGAUACCCUGGUAGUCCACGCCGUAAACGAUGAUUACUAGGUGUGGGGGGACUGACCCCUUCCGUGCCGCAGCAAACGCAAUAAGUAAUCCACCUGGGGAGUACGACCGCAAGGUUGAAACUCAAAGGAAUUGACGGGGGCCCGCACAAGCAGUGGAGUAUGUGGAUUAAUUCGAAGCAACGCGAAGAACCUUACCAGGUCUUGACAUCGUAUGCAUAGCUCAGAGAUGAGUGAAAUCUCUUCGGAGACAUAUAGACAGGUGGUGCAUGGUUGUCGUCAGCUCGUGUCGUGAGAUGUUGGGUUAAGUCCCGCAACGAGCGCAACCCUUACUGUUAGUUGCUACGCAAGAGCACUCUAGCAGGACUGCCGUUGACAAAACGGAGGAAGGUGGGGAUGACGUCAAAUCAUCAUGCCCCUUAUGACCUGGGCCUCACACGUACUACAAUGGCUGUAAACAGAGGGAUGCAAAGCCGCGAGGUGGAGCGAACCCCUAAAAGCAGUCUUAGUUCGGAUUGUAGGCUGCAACCCGCCUACAUGAAGUCGGAAUUGCUAGUAAUCGCGGAUCAGCAUGCCGCGGUGAAUACGUUCCCGGGCCUUGUACACACCGCCCGUCACGCCAUGGGAGUCGGUAACACCCGAAGCCUGUAGUCUAACCGCAAGGAGGACGCAGUCGAAGGUGGGAUUGAUGACUGGGGUG
rnacentral:rRNA from 1 species